CUAAGCAUGUCAAUUCCGUAGCCAUUUGCAGAUUAGAGCGUCGAUGCUUCGCAUCGAUCUCAUCGCUCUCGAGAGAAAGUACUGCAGUGAAUUCCCUGUGUUCAGGUUUUGUUAUUUCAGCCAGAUUAGACUCCAAGAAAAGGUGAUGCUAUUUUAUGUGGACCAGCCUGUUAAGAGAAACCAAAUCCAAAUACUGAAACCUUGGGAAAUGUUGCAAUCGCCAUCAAAGCUUGGGUCUUCUUUCCAUUCUCUCCAGAGCGUAGUGAGAGGCUCGUGAAGGGAGUGUGACAUCAGUGCACAAUGACUCCUAUACAAGUCGCAGGAAAGCCAGCCAUCUCAGAUAUGAGGAAGGUCUCAACCGUAUCCAUGGAUGAGCCGGUGCAGGAGGAUAGAGGCCCCGCCCGCCACCGCGGCACGUCGGCCGGCGGGCACAAGGUUCGGCAGGUGUUGGCCAACGGCUGCAUGCUACUGGCCGGUGUCGGCGGCGGCACGCUGCUGGCGUGGUGGGCUCUCUCCUUCCACCAGUCUAACGAGCAGCUAUGGAUGGUGCCUGUGGGCCUCGUCCUCGCGGGUACGCCGGUCGUCGCGUGGCUGUCCAUCUUCGCUUCGGGCAUCUGCCGAAGUCUUCAGCUGCAAUUCGCUGCUGCACCGCCUGCGUCUUCCGGACCAGAAGAGAUGAUCAGAGGAGAGGGAAUGCAGGAGUUCCCUAUCCUUUGAUAUCUACUAUUAUUUUCUGUUCCUUUUCUUUUGUUUUACUGGUUUUAUUUGACAAAUUAUUCGAAUCAGAUCGGUUGAUAUGUUGAAAUUA